AGAUUGAACGCUGGCGGCAGGCCUAACACAUGCAAGUCGAGCGGCAGCACGGGUACUUGUACCUGGUGGCGAGCGGCGGACGGGUGAGUAAUGCCUAGGAAUCUGCCUGAUAGUGGGGGAUAACGCUCGGAAACGGACGCUAAUACCGCAUACGUCCUACGGGAGAAAGCAGGGGACCUUCGGGCCUUGCGCUAUCAGAUGAGCCUAGGUCGGAUUAGCUAGUUGGUGGGGUAAUGGCUCACCAAGGCGACGAUCCGUAACUGGUCUGAGAGGAUGAUCAGUCACACUGGAACUGAGACACGGUCCAGACUCCUACGGGAGGCAGCAGUGGGGAAUAGUUGGACAAGUGGGACGAAAGCCUGAUCCAGCCAUGCCGCGUGUGUGAAGAAGGUCGUUCGGAUUGGUAAACU
rnacentral:rRNA from 1 species